UAGGGAAUCUUCGGCAAUGGGGGUAACCCUGACCGAGCAACGCCGCGUGAGUGAAGAAGGUUUUCGGAUCGUAAAGCUCUGUUGUUAAGGAAGAACGAGUGUGAGAAUGGAAAGUUCAUACUGUGACGGUACUUAACCAGAAAGGGACGGCUAACUACGUGCCAGCAGCCGCGGUAAUACGUAGGUCCCGAGCGUUGUCCGGAUUUAUUGGGCGUAAAGCGAGCGCAGGCGGUUAGAUAAGUCUGAAGUUAAAGGCAGUGGCUCAACCAUUGUAGGCUUUGGAAACUGUUUAACUUGAGUGCAGAAGGGGAGAGUGGAAUUCCAUGUGUAGCGGUGAAAUGCGUAGAUAUAUGGAGGAACACCGGUGGCGAAAGCGGCUCUCUGGUCUGUAACUGACGCUGAGGCUCGAAAGCGUGGGGAGCGAACAGG
rnacentral:rRNA from 1 species